GGCUGGACCAUGGCAGUGGGUUAUCAGAACUUAUUAACAUGACUGUCACUAAAGUUGGUAUACAGCCUCCCCCCCCACCACCACCACUGCUAAUUAGACUGGCUUUAA
rnacentral:Y_RNA from 1 species